rnacentral:rRNA from 1 species
AUGGAUGCUGCUGCCGGUGGUGCGGCAGGCGGGCUGGAGGUGGUGGUGUUCCCGUGGCUAGCGUUCGGGCACAUGAUCCCUUUUCUUGAGCUCUCAAAGCGCCUGGCGGAGAGGGGCAACGCCGUCACCUUCGUGUCCACGCCACGGAACCUCGCGAGGCUCCCGCCCAUGCCGGCGCACCUGUCAGCCCGCCUCCGCUUCAUGCCGCUGCAGCUGCCGGCCGUGGAGGGGCUGCCGGAGGGCGCCGAGUCAACGGCCGACGUGCCGACCGACAAGAUCGACCUGCUCAAGAAGGCCAUGGACGGGCUCGCGGCCCCGCUCGCGGCUUUUCUCAUGGACACCGUCGCCGCCGGGAGGAGGCCGGACUGGAUCGUCCUCGACUUCUGCCACAACUGGGUGCCGCCCAGCGCCCAUCGCCGACCAGCACAAGGUAGCAUGCGGCCUGUUCCAGAUCCUCCAUGCCGCCUUCGUGGCCUUUCUGGGGCCGCGUUGGGCGAACGCCGCGCACCCGCGCACGGAGCCGGAGCACUUCACCGUGCCGCCCAAGUCUUCGAGCGUUGCCGCCUCGUCAUCUGCCGUAGCUGCCAUGAGCUGGAGCCCCGGAUGUUCGCCCUCCUCUCCAAUCUCUUACGGAAGCCCGCCGUCCCCUCCGGGAUUCUGUUACCGGCGGCACCCGACGACCACCGGAAUAGCAGCUCAGGUGGCGUCGACCCUCACCACGUCCUGCGAUGGCUCGACGACCAGCCUCCCAAGUCUGUCAUCUACGUCGCGCUGGGGACCGAGGCGCCACUGACGCUAGAGAACAUCCAUGAACUCGCGCUCGGGCUGGAGCUCGCCGAGGUGCGAUUCCUCUGGCUGCUAGGCAAGCCUGCCGGAAGCAACAAAGUCGCCGGGCCAUUGCCGGCCGGGUUCGAGGAGCGGACGCGGGCGCGCGGUGUCGUCUGCACAGGGUGGGUGCCACAGAUGAAGGCGCUCGCGCACGACGCCACGGGCGCGUUCCUAACACACUGCGGGUGGGGCUCCACCAUCGAGAGCUUUGCGUUUGGGCUUCCACUGGUCAUGCUCCCGUUCAUCAUCGACACGCCUAUCAUCGCACGGUCGAUGGUGCAGAGAGGGAUCGGUGUGCAGGUGGCGAGAGACGAGAGAGACGGCUCCUUCAACAGGGACGGCGUCGCCACAGCGGUGCGGCGCGUCAUGUCGGAGUAUGAGGGAAAGGUGUUGGCGACCAAUGCCAAGAAGCUGAAGGAGGUUGUCGUGGACGAGGGGCGCCAGGAGCAGUACAUCCACGAGCUCGAGGAACACCUGAGACGCUACAAAGACGUGUAA